UACGUAGGGUGCGAGCGUUAAUCGGAAUUACUGGGCGUAAAGCGUGCGCAGGCGGUUCGCUAAGACCGAUGUGAAAUCCCCGGGCUUAACCUGGGAACUGCAUUGGUGACUGGCGGGCUAGAGUGUGGCAGAGGGGGGUAGAAUUCCACGUGUAGCAGUGAAAUGCGUAGAGAUGUGGAGGAACACCGAUGGCGAAGGCAGCCCCCUGGGCCAAAACUGACGCUCAGGCACGAAAGCGUGGGGAGCAAACAGG
rnacentral:rRNA from 1 species